rnacentral:rRNA from 1 species
AACGAACGCUGGCGGCAGGCUUAACACAUGCAAGUCGAACGCAUCGCAAGAUGAGUGGCAGACGGGUGAGUAACGCGUGGGAAUCUACCCAGUUCUACGGAACAACAGUUGGAAACGACUGCUAAUACCGUAUACGCCCUACGGGGGAAAGAUUUAUCGGAAUUGGAUGAGCCCGCGUAAGAUUAGCUAGUUGGUGGGGUAAUGGCCUACCAAGGCGACGAUCUUUAGCUGGUCUGAGAGGAUGAUCAGCCACACUGGGACUGAGACACGGCCCAGACUCCUACGGGAGGCAGCAGUGGGGAAUAUUGGACAAUGGGCGAAAGCCUGACGCAGCCAUGCCGCGUGAAUGAUGAAGGUCUUAGGAUUGUAAAAUUCUUUCCCCGGGGACGAUAAUGACGGUACCCGGAGAAGAAGCCCCGGCUAACUUCGUGCCAGCCGCCGCGGUAACAC